UUAAGUAUUAUAUUAUUGAAGUGAAGAAGUGAAGAAGAGUUUGAAAGUUGAGUCUCGUGCUGCUCCAUCGUUAUUUUGUAUCUCACAGCUAAUUGAAUGGACCUUUCUCUUCUACGGAGAAGAAGAAGAAGUGUAAUGGAUUCCAAAAUGAAGAAUCUUAAGUCAUCACCAUGAUGAUCAGCCUGAUGAAGAGUAAUUAAAUCUCCCAAGUCCCGAGUACCAUGGUAGUGUGUCAAAAGCUGUAGGAAAACAAGAAGAUGAUGAAGAAUGAUCAAUGACAUGAUGAAGUAAACUGAAACAAAGAAAUUGGGAAUAAAAUAUACCAUGUAAGAUGAUCUUGUUGAUGAUACAAAUCAUAUCUUCUGAAUUAGUCUUCUCGAUUAGAGAGGCGAAAUAUGGAAAUUUGUGAGGCCCUAUUACAAAAUCAGUAUAAUAAAAUAUGGAAGGACAUAAACCAUUCCUAAACUUUUGAGAGAGAUCGAAUUGUUACUAAAACUGCAAUAAUUAAGAUGAUAUAGGAUUGUUUGUGUAAAAGCAAGUGGUGAGAAUUUUGUUAGCUUGCUUUCCAACAAAUUGCAAGAAGAUCAACAAAGAGAUAUGCGACCAAGCCUUGUAUCAGUUGGUAAGAGCAUCUCUAAUGGAGAGAGAUCUUCAUCGACUCUCUCCAUUUUUUGAAGUAU
rnacentral:sRNA from 1 species